rnacentral:sRNA from 1 species
UGGAUCAUAGGCAGCGGCGUCUUCGGCGCAU